CACCCAAGUUUGAAAAACAAUUCGCCGUUGAGUUUUUCCAAUGAAUCAACGCUCCUAUUCUCUUCCUCUCAUUCUCCUGAGCUUGGUGGCCAAGAAUCCUCCAAAGGGAACGAAAUCGCCGAUCCAUGAGCACGUCUCGGGACGAGAUGUCUAGUUUUACUUUAGUCCGACACUACAGUGUGGGGUUCCACGGUUUGGCCUAAUGGGAGGCGGCGUGGUCAACCCUGAGUUUUCCUUGGUCAAGAGAUGCACAGAGCUAUUUACAGAGUAUCCUUUAUGUGAGAAACCCGGGGUCACCACACGGGAAUCUCAGUGGCCAAC